GGGGAUGUACCGGUUUCGACAGGGACUGUGCAGCCGGUGAAGCUAUCCGCAUGCGGUGCGUUAAACGGCAAACUUAAAUACAAACGCUAACAACGAAUUAGCAUACGCAGCCUGAGGGCUUGCCGCCUGACCUGAAGCACUCACACUUCGGGAUCCGGGCGUCGACGAUGUGAGAAACGACGUACAUUAAGCUUUGCGUGUACGGUCGUAACAUGAAGCUACUGAAACCGCAAGGAUGUUCAUUUUCGUGCGGCAGAGGGAAUGAAAAAGAAUGAACUAUGAUAGUAGAAGAACGGGGAAUCAGUUUUUGGACAUGGGUUCAACUCCCAUCAUCUCCAGCA
rnacentral:tmRNA from 1 species